rnacentral:rRNA from 1 species
UUCGCAAUGCCCGAAAGGGUGACGAUGCGACGCCGCGUGAGCGAAGUAGGCCCUAGGGUUGUAAAGCUCUGUCGAGGGUUAUGAAAUAUAGAUGGGUUAAUACCCCAUUUAUUUGACAAAAGCCCAAAAGGAAGCCACGGCUAACUCUGUGCCAGCAGCCGCGGUAAUACAGAGGUGGCGAGCGUUGUUCGGUAUUAUUGGGCGUAAAGAGCACGUAGGUGGUUUUGUAAGUCAGGUGUGAAAGCCUUCUGUUCAAAGGAAGAACGGCAUCUGAAACUGCAGAUCUUGAGUGUAGGAGGGGAGAGUGGAACUUCUGGUGGAGCGGUGAAAUGCGUAGAUAUCAGAAGGAACGUCGGCGGCGAAAGCGACUCUCUGGCCUAUUACUGACACUGAGGUGCGAAAGUUAGGGGAGCAAACGGGAUUAGAUACCCCGGUAGUCCUAACCGUAAACGAUGGGCACUAAGUAGAGGGGUUUU